rnacentral:rRNA from 1 species
AUGCCUCUGUACAUCCCUCACACCAGCAGGUUCCUCCUUCUUCCGUCCUUCUGCUCCCCUCUGGCGCCGCCGCCCUUCCCUUCCUCUAUCUCCGCCCCUCCAGCGAGCCCCUCCUCUUCCCUGCCUCGCCGGCUUCAUUCUCUGUCGCUCUACUCAUCGGCCGUCGCUCCAGGUCGCCGAGGAGGAUCUGCCACCGGAUCCGCGCAGUUGAGGGUGAGGAGGAUGGAGGUGAAGGAAGCAGCAGCAAGGAUGGUGGCUGCUGAUGGGGGAGGGGGCGACGUCGCGCUUCUCGCCACCUCCACGUCCUCGUCGCCCAGUAGUCCGUUGCUCCUUGUCUUGCAACUCCAGCGACAACAGUUCGUCUCGGUGAUCCUUCUGCUCCUCCCGCUUCUCUCCUUCCAUACUAAAUAG